AAGGUCGUAGUAAUCGAGAAGAUUCUGGACAAACUUCAAAAUUGGAAAUCGAAGACCAAUCCGAAAGUCUUCAACAUAGAAGGCAACUUGGUCCGAAGGAGGAGAGUUCAUCCGACCAUCGGAGCCAGGAGCGAAGAGCUGAUACUGCUCCGGAAUACGAUAUUGCUCUUGGAGCUGUUCAACAUUAGGUCCGGAUAGGGAAGAAGCUCCCACUUCCUGACCCGAUGGAGAUUCAUCAAUCGGAUUUUUCGACCGACUAUCCUGAGAAGAAGAAGCCUAGCCAUAAAGAAGGAAAACUAGAGAACCCUAAAAUGAAAACUCAAAAGGGAGAUAGACCCAAGGAGAAGGACGAGAAAACUUGAUCUGAAAACCAAAAAAGGGGGGCAAAGAAGAGACCCUGGAGCUCUCUGGUACUGGGAUGAUCUUCCGACAAAGCUUCCACAGUAGAGGAUGGUGACAAAAUGCAAAAUAAAAGUUUGGCUGAAAGUGACCCUAUAUAUAGGAUCUAUCAAUGGUCCAGAUGAAAUCGAUCAAAUCAGAAUCUCAUUAGAUGACAAUACGUGGCAACAUCCAGACCGACCAUUGGUCGGACGGUUCGACGCACCUGCUCCUGAUCGUGCCACCUCAUCGUUAUCCACGUAAACAGCUCUGACCCAAUGAUGUUCGAACAAGUGGCCAAGAUCUACUAGUCAGAAUCGUAUUAUCCAGUGUCGAAUUAUCUUCCUAAAAUGACAUCCGAUGCUGAAUUAUCCUAUCGAAAUGAUAGUCCAAUAAUGAUUUCACAGCUAUCAAAACAGCAAAAUAGCCGAAGAUCUCUAGUACUCCAAAAAUCAUAAAG
rnacentral:lncRNA from 1 species